UGUGAGAGCGAGCUUGCUCGCGAUGGCGCUAUUUCAGUCAGCAUCAUCGUUGACUGUAAAGGCCUCAUCGCGUGCAAGCUCGCUCCCACA
rnacentral:misc_RNA from 1 species